rnacentral:lncRNA from 7 species
UUAUAUUACUUGCGUGUAUGGAGUGGACAUGUAUAAGCUAGUAAAAUUAACAGUAAACAAAGUUUCUGUUAUAAAAUAAAAAAAGAGUAAAAACAUGGUGAGGAAGGCUCGUGAGAAAACGACACGGAGCAGCGAACUCAAAAGCGAGCACGCUUUAUUGCCAAAAGGAAACCAAAAUCGAGUGUGUGGCGGCCGGCGAACAGUUUUGCAACUGGACGGACGUGUUUCCGGCCCUUCACACUCACACACAUACCAAAGCGACUUACCAACCCACUAAAAGAAAAAAAA